rnacentral:rRNA from 1 species
CAGUCGCCGCGGUAAUACGGAGGGAGCUAGCGUUGUUCGGAAUUACUGGGCGUAAAGCGCGCGUAGGCGGUUACUCAAGUCAGAGGUGAAAGCCCGGGGCUCAACCCCGGAACUGCCUUUGAAACUAGGUGACUAGAAUCUUGGAGAGGUCAGUGGAAUUCCGAGUGUAGAGGUGAAAUUCGUAGAUAUUCGGAAGAACACCAGUGGCGAAGGCGACUACCUGGACUGAUACUGACACUGAGGUGCGAAAGCGUGGGGAGCAAACAGGAUUAGAUACCCCGGUAGUCCCUGUCUCUUAUAC